UCUGGUCGGAGUUUCGAUGGCAUGGCUAAGGUCAAGUUCCAUAAACCCUAAAAGAUUAACGUCGAUUCCGGUUAUCAAGUGUCACAUCGAGUCUCAACAGCAUUAUCAUACCCGUCGUCUCAAGUCAGGGACGAAACCCAGCAGCCAUGAACGAACCCAUAAGCGCACAAGGAAGCCAUGGGAAGAGCUACCGUUUCUCACCGAUCUCAAAGAAAUCGAAGACCCAGAGGAAGCCCUCUCUCUGUUCCACCAUUACCAGCAGAUGGGUUUCCGACACGACUACCCAUCUUACUCUUCGCUCAUCUACAAGCUUGCCCGGUCUCGCCUAUUCGACGGUGUCGACCAUGUUCUCAGGCUGAUCCGAGAUCGUAAUGUUCGGUGCAGGGAGUCCCUCUUCAUGGCGUUGAUUCAGCAUUACGGAAAAGCUGGAUUGGUGGAUAAGGCUGUUGAGAUUUUCAAUACCAUGGUCUCGUUUAAUUGUGUCCGUACGAAGCAGUCUCUGAACACCCUCGUCAACGUCUUGGUCGAUAAUGGAGAGUUGGACAGAGCGAAAAGCCUCCUCGAGGGAUCGUACGAAUUGGGUUUGCGUCCGAAUUCGGUUUCGUUCAAUAUAAUGAUCAAAGGAUCGCUCGAAAAUGGCAAUUGGGAAGGUGCCUGCAAGGUGUUCGACGAUAUGCUUGAGAAGAAAGUGCUUCCAACGGUUGUGACGUACAAUAGCCUGAUAGGGUUCUUAUGCCGAAAUGAUGAUAUGGGGAAGGCAAAGAGCUUGCUUGAGGAUAUGAUUCGGAAGAGAAUACGCCCAAAUGCGGUCACAUUUGCUCUGUUAAUGGAAGGUUUAUGCUCUAAACGGGAGUAUGAUGAGGCAAAGAAGAUGAUGUUUGAUAUGGAUUAUCGCGGAUGUAAGCCAGGUCUUGUUAACUAUGGAGUUUUGAUGAAUGAUCUCGGAAAGAGAGGGAAAAUCGACGAUGCAAAGCAUUUACUUGGUGAGAUGAAGAAGAGGCGGAUAAAACCAGAUGUUGCAAUCUACAACAUACUGGUGAAUCAUCUCUGUAGAGAAGGUAGAGCUUCCGAAGCUUACAGAACGCUGACCGAUAUGCAAAUCAAAGGUUGUAAGCCAAAUGCAGCUACAUACCGGAUGAUGGUUGAUGGGUUCUGCCAUGUCGGGGAUUUCGAUUCAGGGUUGAAGGUUUUGAGCGCAAUGCUUGUGAGUAGACAGUCACCUCGACCUGAAACAUUUGUUCGUAUGAUUUCCGGGCUGUUAAAAGACGGGAAUGUGGAUGGCGCUUGCUUUGCUUUAGAGGAAAUGGGGAAGAGAGGCAUGAUCUCUGGUUCUGGUCUUUGGGAAAAUCUGAUCAGGGAAGUCGAGGUUGAGGAGGGAGUUGGAGGCGCUUGCCAUGAGCUAUUCACAGAGAUAAUCUCCAUCAAGCAGUGACCUUUUCAAGGGGAAAUUAGCACAGAGUUGUUUUGAUGAAUGGAGGGAAUUGAAAUGUUUAAGCUUUUGCUUAGGAUUUAAUCAUUAUGGCAGGUGAAUUUCAUGAAUAGUUCCAUUUAAGAUCCUGAGGCCACAAGUUACUCACCUUCCUGGUUUUAGCUCUCACCAUCAGUUUCACAUCCGCUGCGCGGCUACUCGAUGAAGGAGAUGCACCUGCAGCC